GACGAACGCUGGCGGCGUGCCUAAUACAUGCAAGUAGAACGCACAGUUUAUACCGUAGCUUGCUACACCAUAGACUGUGAGCUGCGAACGGGUGAGUAACGCGUAGGUAACCUGCCUGGUAGCGGGGGAUAACUAUUGGAAACGAUAGCUAAUACCGCAUAAUAUUAAUUAUUGCAUGAUAAUUAAUUGAAAGGUGCAAUUGCACCACUACCAGAUGGACCUGCGUUGUAUUAGCUAGUAGGUGAGGUAACGGCUCACCUAGGCGACGAUACAUAGCCGAACUGAGAGGGUGAUCGGCCACACUGGGACUGAGACACGGCCCAGACUCCUACGGGAGGCAGCAGUAGGGAAUCUUCGGCAAUGGACGAAAGUCUGACCGAGCAACGCCGCGUGAGUGAAGAAGGUUUUCGGAUCGUAAAGCUCUGUUGUAAGAGAAGAACGGGUGUGAGAGUGGAAAGUUCACACUGUGACGGUAUCUUACCAGAAAGGGACGGCUAACUACGUG
rnacentral:rRNA from 1 species